ensembl:lncRNA
GGGGGGUGAGUUGGGGGGAGAAAUCCUCUCUAGAGCCGUAAGCGGAUCGGCCACACGGAGGAAGCAUUUGGGGGCUCAGGAAGAAAUUAGCGCAGCUCCAUCCCUGUACGGACUACAUAACUUUUAAACUACUGGACUCAAAGGAUCCACAUACACACAGGUACAGGAAAUACAGCCAGACCAAAGCCUUUUCAGACCCGAGCUGACCGGAAGACGUUGCCUUUCAUUCAUUCAUUCUGCCCGCGUCUGUGGAGUCCUUUACUAGGCGAGAAGCCCUAGAAGAGAAGUUGGACAUUUUUUAAAGGUCCCUGCGCUCUCCAAGAAGAGGAAAUAGAUGCUCAAGAGUGAGCUACCGAGAGAAUCGGAUCUGGCGCCUCCUAACGCAGCUGGCAAACACGCGAAGGGGGGCCUGGGUUCGAGAUUCACACGCUGCCACUAAACGAUUUCACAUGCCGCCAGGAAAAUCCCCCGUGCAGCAAAAGAAGAAGAAGAAGAAAAGUUUGAUGCUCCUUUUGUUUCCAACCCUACACACUCGGUAGGUGCACAGUAAAAAGUACAGGAUGGGUUCCUAUGUUUUUCCAG